rnacentral:rRNA from 1 species
UAGUCCACGCCCUAAACUAUGAUUACUCGAUAUAUGCGAUACACUGUAUGUGUCCAAGCGAAAGCGUUAAGUAAUCCACCUGGGGAGUACGAUCGCAAGAUUGAAACUCAAAGGAAUUGACGGGGGUCCGCACAAGCGGGGGAGCAUGUGGUUUAAUUCGAUGAUACGCGAGGAACCUUACCUGGGCUAGAAUGCUUCUUGACCGUUCCCGAAAGGGAUCUUACCAGUUUACUGGACAGGAUGCAAGGUGCUGCAUGGUUGUCGUCAGCUCGUGCCGUGAGGUGUUGGGUUAAGUCCCGCAACGAGCGCAACCCCUAUCCUUAGUUGCCAGCGGAUCAUGCCGGGGACUCUAAGGAAACUGCCUACGCAAGUAGUGAGGAAGGCGGGGAUGACGUCAAAUCAUCAUGGGCCUUUAUGCCCAGGGGCUACACACAUGCUACAAUGGAUGGGUACAAAGAGCAGCGAGCUGGGCGACAGUAAGCGAAUCUCAAAAAAGCCAAUUC